CUACGGGAGGCAGCAGUGGGGAAUAUUGGGCAAUGGGGGAAACCCUGAUCCAGCAAUGCCGCGUGUGUGAAGAAGGCCUGCGGGUUGUAAAGCACUUUCGGUUGGGAGGACUGCUUCUAGCACUAAUAUUGUUGGAAGUUGACGUUACCUUCAGAAGAAGCACCGGAUAACUCCGUGCCAGCAGCCGCGGUAAUACGGGAGGGUGCAAGCGUUAAUCGGAAUUACUGGGCGUAAAGCGCGCGUAGGCGGCUAGAUCAGUCGGGUGUGAAAGCCCCGGGCUUAACCUGGGAACUGCAUCCGAUACUGGCUAGCUUGAGUACAGGAGAGGAGAGUGGAAUUCCACAUGUAGCGGUGAAAUGCGUAGAUAUGUGGAGGAACACCAAUGGCGAAGGCAGCUCUCUGGCCUGAUACUGACGCUGAGGUGCGAAAGCGUGGGGAGCAAACAGGAUUAGAUACCCCCGUAGUC
rnacentral:rRNA from 1 species